rnacentral:rRNA from 1 species
AGAAUCAACGCUGGCGGCGUGCCUAACACAUGCAAGUCGAACGAGAAAGUGGAGCAAUCCAUGAGUAAAGUGGCGACCGGGUGAGUAACACGUGACUAACCUACCCUAGAGUGGGGGAUAACCUCGGGAAACCGGGGCUAAUACCGCAUAACAUCGCAAGGGGAAGAUCCUUGCGAUCAAAGAAGCAAUUCGCUCAAGGAGGGGGUCGCGGCUGAUUAGCUAGUUGGUGAGGUAACGGCCCACCAAGGCUUAGAUCAGUAGCCGGCCUGAGAGGGCGCGACGGACCGACGACCUGGAACGUGAAACACGGUCCAGACUCCUACGGGAGGCAGCAGUGGGGAAUUUUGCGCAAUGGGGGAAACCCUGACGCAGCAACGCCGCGUGGAGGAUGAAGUCCCUUGGGAUGUAAACUCCUUUCGAUCGGGACGAUAAUGACGGUACCGGAAGAAGAAGCACCGGCUAACUCUGUGCCAGCAGCCGC